AAAUAAACCCUUAGAUGGAGGAGUAGUUAGGUAGAAAAAUCUCAAAAUUUUGACAAUAAAAUAGUUAGAAGAAACAACAACCCUAGACAAAAUUUGAAUCCUUCAAUUGAAAAAUUGAAAUAAUAUAUAUUCCCUUUCCUCCCUUUCUUUUCUUCCCAAACUCUUUCUUCCCAAUUUCCCUCAGAUCUUCAUCUUCUUCGUGAAUGGUAGAAACCCUUUUCCUCUUCGAUUUCAUGCGCUCCCUUUCACCUUCAACAACGGCGAGCGCUCUUCUUUUCUNN
rnacentral:lncRNA from 1 species